GACGAACGCUGGCGGCGUGCCUAAUACAUGCAAGUCGAGCGAAGCGGCGGAUGGGUGAGUAACGCGUGGGUAACCUGCCCUUAAGUCUGGGAUACCAUUUGGAAACAGAUGCUAAUACCGGAUAUUAAAGGAUGGACCUGCGAUGAAUUAGCUAGUGGGUAAGGUAACGGCUUACCAAGGCGAUGAUGCAUAGCCGAGUUGAGGGAGUGAGCUGCCACAUUGGGACGGCUACACGGCCCAAACGCCUACGGGAGGCAGCAGUGGGGAAUCUUCCACAAUGGACGAAAGUCUGAUGGGGCAACGCCGCGUGAGUGAAGAAUGUUUUCGGAUCGUAAAGCUCUGUUGUUGGUGAAGCGGUAAUCAACCAGAAAGGCACGGCUAACUACGUGCCAGCCGCCGCGGUAAUAC
rnacentral:rRNA from 1 species